ensembl:ncRNA F56E3.20 ncRNA
AAGAGAAAGAAAAGCAAAUCGUAGUUGUGUUGUUGGUUGUUCAGUUAGGAGAUGGUAAUCAAAUUGACGCGAGAGAGGCUCUCGUCAACUAAGUGAUGUGCUCAGCAGAUAUACUACGUCGUCGGACAAGUUGAACAUUCUCUACGUCUUCUCUUCACGCGCACCUUCUCAUUCCCCGUUUUAGAAUCCUUUCGGAAAACUGAAAGCAGUGAGUGUCGGUGUCUCAUGUGGCUCGAGGUGUUG